rnacentral:rRNA from 1 species
AUUGAACGCUGGCGGCAGGCCUAACACAUGCAAGUCGAGCGGAUGAAGGGAGCUUGCUCCUGGAUUCAGCGGCGGACGGGUGAGUAAUGCCUAGGAAUCUGCCUGGUAGUGGGGGAUAACGUCCGGAAACGGGCGCUAAUACCGCAUACGUCCUGAGGGAGAAAGUGGGGGAUCUUCGGACCUCACGCUAUCAGAUGAGCCUAGGUCGGAUUAGCUAGUUGGUGGGGUAAAGGCCUACCAAGGCGACGAUCCGUAACUGGUCUGAGAGGAUGAUCAGUCACACUGGAACGGGAACACGGUCCAGACUCCUACGGGAGGCAGCAGUGGGGAAUAUUGGACAAUGGGCGAAAGCCUGAUCCAGCCAGGCCGCGUGUGUGAAGAAGGUCUUCGGAUUGUAAAGCACUUUAAGUUGGGAGGAAGGGCAGUAAGUUAAUACCUUGCUGUUUUGACGUUACCAACAGAAUAAGCACCGGCUAACUUCGUG